rnacentral:lncRNA from 1 species
GGUGGUGUAGUACUAACUUAUCUGUAUAGGACUAUGUAUCAGGGUUCUAAUCAUGAUCAAUCAGAAAUUGAUGGUUAUCUUAUAUUAUGCAGGUAUAUGAUAUAGAAAUAUUAAUUUUCUACAUUAUAUUGUAACUCUGAUGGAACAUAUUAUGUAUGAUUUUCUUGGAAUUGGCAGAUUUGGGCAAGGGAGAAGAUAUGGACUAUCAGUCCAUUAUGGAGAUAAUUGCUUAAGAUGCCACCGAAGUAACACGAUCCUAAUAUUCCAUUC